UCCUCAGUAGCUCAAUGGCAGAGCACCCGGCUGUUAACCGGGUUGUUGUAGGUUCGAGCCCUACCUGGGGAG
rnacentral:tRNA from 1 species